rnacentral:rRNA from 1 species
AAUCAACGCUGGCGGCGUGCCUCAGACAUGCAAGUCGAACGAUUAAAGCUCCCUUCGGGAGUGCAUAGAGUGGCGCACGGGUGAGUAACACGUAAGUAAUCUACCCUCGGGUGGGGGAAUAACGUUCGGAAACGGACGCUAAUACCGCAUAAUGCAGCGGCACCGCAAGGUGACAGUUGUUAAAGAUUUAUUGGCCUGGGGGAGGAGCUUGCGGCAGAUUAGCUUGUUGGUAAGGAACGGCUUACCAAGGCUACGGAUCUGUAUCCGGUCUAAGAGGACGGUCGGACACACUGACACUGAAUAACGGGUCAGACUCCUACGGGAGGCAGCAGUCGGGAAUUUU